GUUCGAUCCUGGCUCAGGUCGAACGCUGGCGGGAUGCUUUACACAUGCAAAUCAGGCAACGGCACGGACUUCGGUCUGGUGGCGAGUGGCGAACAGGUGAGUAAUGUAUCAGGGUGAUACUAGUAGCGGGGAAUGCCCGCGAAAGCGUAGCUAAUACCGCAUACGCCCUUCAGGGAAAGCGGGGGACCUUCGGGGCCUCGCGCACUAUUAGAGCAGCCGAUAUCAGUUAGCUAGUUGGUGGAGGUAACGGCUCGCAAGGCGAUCCGUAGCUGGUUUGAGGAGGACGACCAGCCACACUGGGACUGAGACACGGCCCGAACUCUACCAGGAGGCAGCAGUGGGGAAUUUUUGGACAAAUGGGGAAACCCUGAUCCAGCUCCGUGUGCGAUGAAGGCCUUCCAGGUUGUAAACCCACUUUUGGCAGGAAAGAAACGGCACAGGAUAAUACCCCGUGCAACCUGACAGUACCUGCAGAAUAAGCACCGGCCUAACUACGUGCCCAGCAGCCGCGGUAAUACGUAGGGUGCAAGCGUUAAUCGGAAUUACUGGGCGUAAAGCGUGCGAGCGGUUCGGAAAGAAAGAUAGUGAUAUCCAGAGCUUAACUUUGGAACUGCAUUUUUAACUACCGAGCUAAAGUGUGUCAGAGGGAGGUGGAAUUCCGUCAA
rnacentral:misc_RNA from 1 species